UAGUGACCUUCAGAGAUGUACUUGUGGACUUCACCAGGGAGGAGUGGAAGUUGCUGGACGCUGCUCAGCAGGUCAUAUACAAAGACGUGAUGUUGGAGAACUAUAAGAAUCUGGUUUCCUUGGGGCAUCUGCUUCCUAAGCCAGAUGUGAUCCUCCGUUUGGAGAAAGGGGAAGAGCCCUGGCUGGUGGAGAGAGGGAUUCACCAUAAGACAUUCCCAGAUUUAGAGAUUGCAGCUGAAAUUAAAGCAUCGGUUUCUAGUAAGAGCACUUCUAAAGAUAAACAAACCUAUGCCAUUAAAGAGGAAGGAAUAGCAAGGGAUGACCUCUGGUAUUUGUCAUUAGAAGAUGUCUGGAAGUGUGGAAACCAGAUGAGCAAAUAUCAAGAAAAUCAGGAGGGACACUUGAGACAAGUGACAUUCACCCAGAAGAAAGUACUUGAUCAAGAAAAGGUCUGUGAGCAUAAAAGUGAGGGAAGCUGUCUUCUUCCUGCUCAGAUCAUAUUGAGGGAGUAUUUCCAUAAAGGUGGAUCACAUACUAAAAGUUUAAAACAUGACUUAGAAUUUAGUGGGCAUCAGGAAAGCUGUGCCACCAGCAGUAACGAAUGUGGUCAAACCUUAUGUCAAAACAUUCACCUUAUUCAGUUUGCAAGAACUCACAGAGGAGAUAAAUCCUACAAAUGCCCUGAUAAUGACAGCUCUCUUUCUUGUGGUACAUCCCUUGACAUAUCAAAGGGCAUACAUAGAGAAAAGCCCUAUGAAUGUAAGGAAUGUGGAAAAUUCUUCAGCUGGCGCUCUAAUCUUACCAGGCACCAGCUUAUUCACACUGGAGAGAAGCCCUAUGAAUGUAAAGAAUGUGGAAAAUCCUUCAGCCGGAGUUCCCACCUCAUUGGACACCAAAAAACUCAUACUGGUGAGGAGCCCUAUGAAUGCAAAGAGUGUGGAAAGUCCUUCAGCUGGUUCUCUCAUCUUGUUACCCACCAGAGGACACACACAGGAGAUAAGCUGUACACCUGCCAUCAGUGUGGGAAGUCCUUUGUUCAUAGCUCCCGACUGAUUAGGCACCAGAGGACUCACACUGGAGAAAAACCCUAUGAGUGUCCUGAGUGUGGGAAGUCAUUCCGACAGAGCACACACCUCAUUCUACAUCAGAGAACUCAUGUCAGAGUGCGGCCCUAUGAAUGUAAUGAAUGUGGGAAGUCUUACAGCCAGAGGUCUCAUCUUGUUGUGCAUCACAGAAUUCACACUGGACUGAAACCUUUUGAGUGCAAAGAUUGUGGAAAAUGUUUCAGUCGAAGCUCUCACCUUUUCUCACAUCAGAGAACCCACACUGGAGAGAAACCAUAUGAAUGCCAUGAUUGUGGAAAAUCCUUCAGUCAGAGUUCUGCCCUCAUUGUACAUCAGAGAAUUCAUACUGGAGAGAAACCCUAUGAAUGUUGUCAGUGUGGGAAAGCCUUCAUCCGGAAGAAUGACCUUAUUAAGCACCAGAGGAUUCACAUUGGAGAGGAUGCCUAUAAGUGUAAUCAGUGUGACAUUAUCUUCAGCCAGCAUUCUCCAUUUAUAGUCCACCAGAUAGCUCACACCGGGGAGCAGUUCUUCACAUGUAACCAGUGUGGGACAGCACUGGUCAGUAGCCCUGGUCUUGUUAGAUACCAGACAAAUUAUACCAGACAAAGCACUCCAUCUGUCAGCUCAGGUAGGGAGAUCGCUUUUCCGCGUCGGCGCCUCCAGUCGGGUUCACCCGGCCUCUGGGGGUUGAGUCAGUUGGUUUCGCUCGUUGGGGCGGACGCCGUGGAGUCCGGAGCGAGGACCAAGCCGUCCUCGCGUGAGCCGUCUUGGGUCAGGUCCGGCAGUUGGAGGCAGCCAGGCUCCCCUGAGUCUUUCUGCUGCCUAUUAGGGCUGGAGGAGCGGGACUCUCUCAGUGUCUCCAGGCUCAAGGCGGCGGAAAGGUGCAAAAGCAGUCUGGCCGCAGUAUCCUGCGGCAGACCCAGUGGUUCCCUGGCCGGCUUGGUUGUUGCUGAGGGGGUGGAGAUGGGGAGCCCUGGGGUUGUGGGAGGGAGAACUGUUGAGGUGUUUUCACAGAGGAUUUUUGGAUGGAGCAGUCUGCAGCUGGCAAAAGAAAACAAGGGUUUCAGUAAACUAGUGACUCUGAGAAAAAAAGAGGAUGUAAAGAAACAGAAGCAAGUGGAUUUGGGACCACUGUCAUUCAUGGAGGAGUGGCGGCUGUUGGACCCAGUACAGAAAUGCCUGUACAGGAGUGUGAUGCUGGAGAACUACAGCCACCUGGUGUUCCUGGGGUAUCAGCACACUAAACCCAAUAUCAUCUUCAGGUUGGAACAAGAAGAAUUGUGGAUGAUGCAGGCCCAAAUGCCCACGCAAGACAAAAUCUGGGAAAUUGAUGAUCAUAUGAAAUGGCAUCAGGAAAGUGAAGCCAAUCUGGGAAGGAUGGCAAAAAAUCUGAAUGUGCUGUAGUUGGAAAACUGUGUGGUCUUAGUUCAAAUUGUGUUUCUUGAAGACAAAAAUCUUCAUAAAUGUGGCACACAUGGGAAAUGUUUGAAAUGUGAUACAGAUUUCACUAGUAAUUAUUCUGGAACGAAUCCUGGUGGUUUUCAUAUUCAGAGAAUCAUUCCUUCAUUCUAAAUGUGAGAAAACUGUCAUUGGGAUAAAAUACUGUGAAAAGAAUCAGUCUGCAACAACUAUCAGCAAGUCACAAUUUGUGCACCAACAUGUGUAUCAAGAGGAAAAUCCUUUAAAUGUAGUUACUGUGAGAAAGCCUCCAGUGGUGAGCCAGACUCUGUAGUGCAUCAGCAAACUCAUGCAGAGGAGAAACCCUGUGAAUGUAGUGAAUGUGAGAAAGACUUUAGCAUUAAGCCAUGUCUCUUUGUAUAUCAGACAUCUCAUGUAGGAGAAAAACUUCACAAAUGCAAUGAAUGUGGAAAAACAUUCAUUUUUAAUUCACAACUGCUUUUACAUCAAAAGACUUCAUACAGGUGAGAAUCUUCAUGAAUGCUGUAAAUGUGGGAAAGUCUUCAGUAGGAAAGACCAGCUCAUUUCACACCAGAGAAUUCAUUCAGGACAGAAGCCCUAUGGUUGUAAUGAAUGUGGGAAAGAUUUUGGUUUGAAAUCACAGCUCAUUAUACAUCAAAGAAUUCAUGCAGAAGAGAAACCAUAUGAAUGCAGCAAAUGUCAGAAAACCUUUAAUAAAAAGUCAAACCUUAUGGUACACCAGAGAGCUCAGGGAAGAAACCCUAUCAAUGUAGUGAAUUCAGGAAGGCCUUCAUGUUCAAGUGACAGGUCAUUGUACAUCAAGGAGUUCACAUGGGAGUAAAGCCCUAUGGGUGCAUUCAGUGUGGGAAAGCAUUCAGUUUGAAGUCACAGCUCAUUGUACAUCAGAGAAGACAUACAGAAAUGAAACCCUGUGCAUGUGAUGGAGAGAUCCCCUAUGAAUGCCAUGAAUGUGGGAAAGCCUUCAGUCAGAAAUAUCUGCUUGUUUCAUACCAGAGGACUCAUGCAGGGGAGAAGUUCUAUGAGUGCAGUGACUGCGAAAGCUUUUGGCUUGAAGUCCCAGCUUAUUAUACAUUCACAGGAUUCAUAUAGGAGAGAAACCCUUUGAAUGCAGUCAAUGUUGGAAAGUCUUUAAUAGAAAGUCAACUCUUGUACAUCACAGAACUCAUACAGGAGAGAAGCUGUAUGGUUGUACUGAGUGUGGAAAGGCCUUUACAUUCAAGAUACAGCUCAUUGUACAUCAGGGAGCUCACACUGGAAUAAAGCCCUGUGAAUGCAAUGAAUGUAGGACUCACUGAUUUCACUUUAGUUUGAAAUCAUAGCUCAUUGUACAUCAGAGAAGUCACACGGGAGUAAGCCAUAUGGAUGCAGUGAGUGUGGGAAUGCCUUUAGGAGCAACUCAUACCUUACUAUACAUACACAAACACACACAGGAGAGAAACCCCAUGAAUGUUGAGUGUGGGAAAUCCUUCAGUUUCAAUUCACAGCUUAUUGUGCAUUAGAGAAUACACACAGAAAAUCCCUAUGAAUGCAUGGAAUGUGAGAAAGCUUUUAAUAGGAAAGACCAGCUCAUUUCACACCAAUGAACUCAUGCAGGGGGAAGCCCUAUGGGUGUAGUGAAUGUGGGAAAACGCUUAGCAGCAAAACAUACCUCAUUAUACACAUGAGAACCUAUUCAGGAGAGAAACCAUAUGGAUGUAGUGAGUGUGGGAAAGCCUUCAUUUGGAAGUCACUACUCAUUGUACAUGAGUGAACUCACUUGAGACAAAAUCCUUAUAAAUGUAGUCAGUGUGACAAAUCCUUCAGUGUGAAAUUACAGCUUGUUUUACAUCAGAGAAUGCAUAAAAGAGAAAAACCCAAUGAAUGCAGUGAAUGUGGAAAAACCUUCAUUAGGAAAUCUCAGCUCAUUGUACAUCAGAGACUUAUUCAGGAGAGAAACCUUAUGGGUUGCAGUGAUUGUGGAAAAACCUCUCAGGAGUCAAUUCUCAGUGUACAUCAGAGGACACAGAGGAGAGAGACCUGUAAACACACUGAAUGUGGGAAAGUCUUCUGUUGGAAGUCACAGCUUAUGCAUCAGAGAACUCAUGCAGAUGAGAAACAUAUGGGUGAGUUACAUGUAAGAAACUUUGUCAAAAGGCAUUUUACAGGAGAUACCAGCAAAGUCGUAUAG